rnacentral:rRNA from 1 species
UACGGGGGGAGCAAGCGUUGUUCGGAUUUACUGGGCGUAAAGGGUGCGUAGGCGGUUUGGUAAGUCCUGAUGUGAAAUCUAUGGGCUCAACUCAUAGUCUGCCAUCGGAAACUGCCGGGCUUGAGUGUGGGAGAGGUGAGUGGAAUUCCUGGUGUAGCGGUGAAAUGCGUAGAUAUCAGGAGGAACACCUGUGGCGAAAGCGGCUCACUGGACCAUAACUGACGCUGAUGCACGAAAGCUAGGGGAGCAAACAGG